CCGGCGCACGGGUGAGUAACACGUAUGCAACCUGGCCGUGACAGAUGGAUAACCGGGAGAAAUCCCGCCUAAUACAGCAUGACGCCGGGAAGGGACAUCCCUUUCCGGCCAAAGGGGGCGACUCCGGUCACGGAUGGGCAUGCGGCGCAUUAGCUAGACGGCGGGGUGACGGCCCACCGUGGCGACGAUGCGUAGGGGUUCUGAGAGGAAGGCCCCCCACAUUGGGACUGAGACACGGCCCAGACUCCUACGGGAGGCAGCAG
rnacentral:rRNA from 1 species